GAGACAUAGGCAGAGGGAGAAGCAGGCUCCCCGCAGGGAGCCCCAUGUGGGACUCAAUACCAGAAGCCUAGGAUCACACCUUGAGCCAAAGGCAGAUGCUCAACCACUGAGCCACCCAGGUGCCCCUAUUUAUUUCUAUUCUUACUUGUAGAAUUUUUAAAGUAAACUCUGUGCCCAACGUGGGGUUCAGACUCAUGACCCCAAGAUCAAGAGUCACAUGUUCUACUGAUUGAGCCAGUCAGGUGUCCUUUUACUUUUUAAUUUCUUUCUUUUUUUAAAUUUAGAGAUGACUUCUUUUUAACCAAGCCAUGAGAGACUCCUCUCAAUAUUACUUACCAUGUCAGGUUUUUUGGUUUCUGGUUUUUGGUUUUUCAAUUUGCUAUGAGCAGCAGAGGUAAAGGGCCAGCCUGAGAGUCUGUUAGCUGAUGCACACGUAGUCUUUUUGGUGAAUCUAAAUGGAGAGUCAAAUUAAAAUUAGAAAUGUGUUUGAUGAACAUAAUAUUAGAUCACAAGAAAUUAAAGGAGGAUUUUAAUAUCCUUAAUGCAUCCAUCUCUGCUGUGAGCAUAGACUUGUCAAACGAACCUGCUAUUUAGGUUCAUAAGUCAUGGCAUCAUUACCCCCGGACAGUAUAAUUACCCAUAUCUCUCUGAUUUGUCCAUAUUGUGUCCUAAACUCCCCCUCCUACCCAAUUAACAUUUUCUUUUUUGAGGUUUGCUAAAAUUAUUUAUUAGGGUUUAGUUAAGUGCCAUCGAAUUUCCAAGAAUGCAUUGGUCCUGAGCAAUAUAUUUUGUCACGAUGAGCAGUUCUGUAGCGCUACUCUUCCUCAGUUACAGCUAUCAUGGUUGAGUGGCCCUCAGUGCUAGAACCUUGGAAUGCCAGAAGGCUUAGUUCUAGAACUUCUGAGUUUAUACUCCAAUUGAGAAAACAGACCAUGUAACAGGCAGCUGUUGGUCAGUAGCAUGGGACAUGCACUGAGAAGGGAAGUAGUGGGUAAUGGUUCAUAGGAGGGACAGUUGACCUUAGUGCUGAAGUCAAGGAAUACUCCCUUCAAGAAGUAGUGUUUAAGCUGAGUCCAAGGCUCAGGAAAUGGGAGAAAGGGGGAAUUCUAGUCCAAGUCAGUGACAGAUGACAGCGGAGAAUCCCCAAAGGAAAACAGAAUGCAACAAAUUUGAUGGAUCAGAUAAAUUAAUAUGGCUCCAGAACUAAGUAGAGGGAAUGAAGGAGAGUAAAAUGGCAGAAGAUUGUGUUGGAGAUGUAAGCUGGGGCCAAAUCAAGAAGGAGUUUGUUAAUGUUGCUAAGGAGUGUGUUGUAUAUGUUAAUAUGAUGAUGAACCAAUUAAUGGCUUUUCAGCAGAAAAGUGACUCAAUAUAAUUUGCAUUUUAGAAGGUCCAUUCUGGCUACAGAAUAUACUGCGGAUUGAACGGGGGCAAUGCUUGAGGGAAGAACACCUUAAUUUUUCUUGUUUUGUUUGUUUUUCUAUAUAAUUUUAUAUGAUAGCUAAUAAUGACAGCUAGUAUUUACUCUUAGUAUAUGCCAAGCAUUUUACACAAAUUUCAUUUAGUCUUUAUAAUAAUGCUCUAAUGUAGGCUAUAUUAAUAUCAUAUUAAUAUAUUGAUUGCAGAGGUAAGAAAAAUUUCUGUUAGGAAGUUUAAAUAACUUGCUCAGGUCCACAACCAGUAAGUGUUACAGUCAAGAUAUGAACUCCAUCCACUGUAUCACUGCCUCCAUGAAAGAGGAGAAGACAAUGUGAAUUAAGCAGAGGCAGAAGGAAAAGCAGAGACCACACAUUUGAUAGGCACUAAAAAGGGCAGGUCUUAGUGAUUGUUUGAAGACAGAGAUUGUAGGGUGGAGUAAGGGAAAUAGUAUGGAGUCUUAAGGUUGGCUAGGAGUCACUACAAAUUUUGCUCUCAAUUUCAGUUGCACACUCUAUAUCAUUGGACAGCUUUUCCACUUGCUUUCUUUUUUUUUUUUUUUCCACUUGCUUUCUGGACCCAUCUCUUCACAGCAAACCUCUCCAGCAUUCGCCAUUCUUCUUCAGACACUGUGUUAUUCCAUCUCUCCUCAUCAGUCAGUAGUUGAUUACAUUUUCUACUUGUUUUGGUGUCUUUGGUUAAGACUGGUGAAGGCAUUCUCAUUUUUUUCCAAGUCCAAAUAAAUUAACCGGUUCUUUACCAAAAUAUUUAGGACGUAAUGUAAAGAACUGGAAAUCAAUGAAAACAAGAUCUCUUUCUUUCCUACUCAUAACAUCAAACAAUGGCACCUAUUUCCAGCCCUGGUUCUCAGGCUUUUGUUAGAGAAGUUUUAGGUUUUUGUUUCAAAUGCCUGAGCUGAUAAGACUUCCGGCUUCAGGAGGUACAGAUAAGGAGAAAAAAAGUUCAUCCACAGUAGAGCCUUGUAGAUAUGACUCAGUCAGUCUUUUCUCCAGAAAUGGCAGGAGGCUCUCUGACCCUCUUCUUUAUAUUUUAGAUGUUGGUAGUGAUGCCAUCCACUAUCAACUUUUAUUUUCUCAUUCAGGGCCAGAAAGGCUAGAUUUUGCUGUUUUCAAAUAGAAUUACCCUAGAGAAGCAAACAUAAUCAUUCCAGAGAAAGAUUCAGUUGCUUUCAUUUCCUUCCGAAGAAAGAAUUUAACAUAAAUCAUUUCUUGAGAUAAAAUGGACAAGGCCUUGGGGUACCACACUUUUAGUAACAUUGGUUUGUUAAGCCAAUUGCUUCCCGGAGGCAGGAAGAAUUAUCAUAGGAAAAUGUCUAAGAAGGUCUCCUAAAAUACUAUACCUCUGAAUUCUUGCUCUACCUUGGAACAGGUGGAAAUCCUUAUCUUUGGGGCAUGGUAUAUACAUUACUUACUUUGCAACACCUAUCAUAACAAAUUACCACAGGCUGGGUGGCUUAAGCUGCAGAAAUUUAUGGUCUCACAGUUCUGGAGACUGGAAGACCAAGGUCAAUGGAUCAGCAGGUCUGGUUUCUUCUGGACUCCUCUCCUUGGCCAGCAGGUGGCGAUCUUCUCCCGGUGUCCUCACCUGGCAUUCUCUGUACAUGCCCAUCCCUGGUAUCUCCUCUUUUUAUAGACGCCAGUCGGAUUGAAUUAGGGUAUUCUAUUAACACCCCAUUUUAACUUAAUUACCUCUUUCAAGGCCCAAGAUCCAUACAGAGUCAUCUUUUGGGAUCCUAGGGGCCCGGGCUUCGACAAAGGAAUUUUGGAGGAGACACAAUUCUGUCCAUAAAAGCACAUCCUUGUAUUUACUUUUACUGUUAUCCAAAAA
rnacentral:lncRNA from 1 species